rnacentral:ncRNA from 2 species
AUUAUAUUGCGGGGGAACUAUAUGGGCUGCGGUCCACAUGAGUUGAGAAGGUUAAAACCUGACCCUUUGAACCUGUCAGUUAAUACUGGCGAAGGGAAGCAAAUUGUUACAUGAA